AGUGAACGCUGGCGGUAGGCCUAACACAUGCAAGUCGAACGGCAGCACAGUAAGAGCUUGCUCUUACGGGUGGCGAGUGGCGGACGGGUGAGGAAUACAUCGGACUCUACUUUUUCGUGGGGGAUAACGUAGGGAAACUUACGCUAAUACCGCAUACGACCUACGGGUGAAAGCAGGGGAUCUUCGGACCUUGCGCGAUUGAAUGAGCCGAUGUCGGAUUAGCUAGUUGGCGGGGUAAAGGCCCACCAAGGCGACGAUCCGUAGCUGGUCUGAGAGGAUGAUCAGCCACACGGGAACUGAGACACGGUCCAGACUCCUACGGGAGGCAGCAGUGGGGAAUAUUGGACAAGGGGCGCAAGCCUGAUCCAGCCAUACCGCGUGGGUGAAGAAGGCCUUCGGGUUGUAAAGCCCUUUUGUUGGGAAAGAAAAGCAGCAGGUUAAUACCCCGCUGUUCUGACGGUACCCAAAGAAUAAGCACCGGCUAACUUCG
rnacentral:rRNA from 1 species